rnacentral:miRNA from 1 species
CCCUAAAGUAGAAAUCACUA